AUCCUUUUAUAGUUCAUAAGCAUGUGAUUGAGUGGUCAUACACGUGUGAGGUGUGUCACCCUUGAGGUGUAUGCCUUGUUAUGACAUUGGCACAUUACCUGUCUGACA